rnacentral:lncRNA from 1 species
CACCAAUUCGAAAGAGAAAUAUUUCGACCCUAAACCUCGCACCCCCACCCGGCCUCCUCUCUGGUGGCUUCCCCAUUUCCACGUUCCCUAAUGACCUCUCCCAUCAAUGCGCCACCACUGCCACCAUUUAUACCAUUGCCCCCAAAUGCUAUUCGGAUUCUAUUCUACAUCAACAACUCAUGAACUCUCUAAUCAACAAUAUCGUCAUCAGCGGCAGCGACAUUUCUCGAAAUGGUAAAGGCCCUCAAAUUCCAAUCCCCACCCUUGAUUCGCUUCUCCAAAAUCUCUAGAAGUUGCUGCCCUUUACCCAUCUCCCUCCUUUUCUCCUCACAACCGGUUCAACAAGAAAAUCUUGAACAAGAGCAUCAUAUUUCAUCCAGCUUAGUCUCCAGAGUGUGCGAAAUCCUAUCCAAUCGGAGAGUCGAUUGGCGGCGAAGCUCGGAGCUAGAGUCCUUGAGCUUGAAGCUCAAACCCCACCAUGUUGCCAAAAUAAUCGAAACCCACAAUAGCACCGACUUAGUUUUGCAGUUUUUUUAUUGGGUUUCUAAGAGGCCUUUCUACAAACAUGAUUUGAGCUGUUAUGUUUCUAUGUUGAAUAGGCUGGUUAAAAAUAAGAUUUUUACGCACGCUGACCAUGUUAGGAUUCUUUUCAUUAAAGCCUGUAGGAAUGAGGGAGAACUUAGAAAGGUUCUUGAUUUUUUGAAUGAGAUUAGUAAAAUGGGUCUUUCUUGUAGUCUGUAUAGUUUUAAUACUUUGUUGAUUCAAUUGGGCAAGUUUGAUAUGGUGGUCAUGGCUCAGAAUGUGUAUAAGGAAUUGUUGAAUAGUGGGAUCAAACCAAAUUUGUUGACUUUGAAUACCAUGAUUAAUAUCUUCUGUAAGAAGGGGAAGGUUGAAGAGGCUGAAAUUAUAUUGAGUCGCAUUUACCAGUAUGAAAUGUUGCCGGAUGUGUUCACAUACACAUCAUUGAUUCUUGGGCAUUGUAGAACUAGGAAUUUAGUUAAGGCGUUUGUUGUUUUUGAUCAGAUGGUGAAGAAGGGCAUUGAUCCAAAUUCGGUAACAUAUACUACUCUUAUCAAUGGGCUAUGUGAAAAUGGAAGAGUGGACGAGGCACUGGGCAUGAUAGAGGAGAUGAUUGAGAAAGGGAUUGAACCAACCAUAUAUACCUACACGGUGCCUAUUACUGCAUUGCUUGCAGUUGGGCGCAUGAAUGACGCUAUCAAUCUAGUCGCUAGCAUGAAAGAGAGAGGUUGCCAUCCCAAUGUUCAGACCUAUACUGCUCUUAUUAGUGGGUUGGGCAAAUCCAGUCAACUUGAGGUAGCUGUUGGAUUGUACCAUAAGAUGUUGAGAAAGGGCUUGAUGCCAACGGCAGUCACAUACAAUGCUUUGAUAAAUGAAUUGUGUGAGGGUGGGAAACUUGAUACUGCCUUUCGAAUUUUUCAUUGGAUGGAGGGACAUGGUUACUUGCCAAAUGCUCAAACCUAUAAUGCAAUGAUAAAAGGACUCUGUAUGAUUGGAAAUUUUGAGAGGGCGAUGAUUCUAUAUAACGAAAUGCUGAAGGUGGGUCCUGCACCUACAGUGAUUACGUACAACACUCUCAUUAAUGGAUACCUGGAAAGGGGUUUUCUGGACAAUGCUAUGAGAUUAUUAGAGGUGAUGAAGGAAAGUGGUUGUCAACCAGAUGAAUGGACAUAUGCAGAACUUGUUUCAGGUUUUUGCGAAAGGGGGAAGCUUGAUAUGGCUUCUGCACUUUUUCAGGAAAUGAUGCAACGAGGUUUGAGCCCAAAUCAGGUGAACUACACCACUUUGAUCGAUGGCCUUUGCAAGGAAGGGAAAGUUGAUGAUUCACUGAUAUUAUUUGAAGGAAUGUUCAAGAGUGGUUGUGAUCCAGAUAUUGAGACUUACAACUCGGUUAUAAAUGGUUUGUCGAGAGGGAACAGGCUUUCUGAAGCAGAGAAACUAUGCAAUAAGAUGGUAGAAAGUGGACUUCUUCCAAACGUGAUAACCUACACAACUUUAAUUGAUGGUCUGUGUAAGAAUGGUGGAACACAUCUUGCAUUCAAGAUUUUCCAUGAAAUGGAGAAAAGGAAUUGCUUACCAAACUUGUACACUUAUAGUUCACUAAUCCAUGGAUUAUGUUUGGAAGGUCAGGCUGAUCGUGCAGAGAUGUUACUUGAAGAAAUGGCGAGCAAAAAGUUAUCUCCUGAUCAGGUCACAUAUACUUCAUUGAUUGAUGGGUUUGUCACCCUGGGUAGAUUAAAUCACGCAUUUGAACUUCUUCAUCUGAUGGUACAUGCGGGCUGCAAACCUAACUACCGAACAUUCUGUGUGUUGCUGAAAGGGUUGCAAAAGGAAUGUCGGAUGCUUGCAGAAAAAGUUGCAGUCCAACAUGAAACAGUCUACAGCUGCAAUGCAGAUGAGAAGGAUUUUACAUAUGAUACUUUAUGUAAUCUCUUAGUUAGGUUGUCCGAGAUUCACUAUGAACCUUCUGUUGAUACAUAUUGCUGUUUAAUUGCUGGCCUCUGUAGAGGUGGCAAAUUGUAUGAGGCAGAACAGUUGGUUAAAUAUAUGAAAGAGAAAGGGCUAAGUCCUAAUGAUGCAAUUUAUUGCUCUCUCCUCAGUGCUUACUGCAAGUAUUUGAGAAUGGAGCCUGCUCUAGAAGUAUUUAAUUUAUUAGUUGUCAGAGGUUUCAAUCCUUCUUUAUCAAUUUAUAGACAACUUAUUUCCUCUCUUUGCAAGAUAAAUUGGGUCAAAGAGGCCGAAAUUUUGUUUGAGAACAUGCUUGAGAAACAAUGGAAUACUGAUGAAAUUGUUUGGACUAUCUUGCUUGAUGGAUUGCUCAAGGAGGGGGAAUCAAUAGUAUGCUUGAAGCUUCUUCAUACUAUGAUCUCUAAGAAUUACUCUAUCAGUUUGCAAACAUAUGUCAUGCUGGCAAGAGAAUUAUCCAAAGUUGACCAAUCUAUUGAUAUGAACCAAGUUGCUGAUAAAUUGCAAAGCCUGAGAAAGAAAAAACCAGGCUGAAGUCUUCAUUUUAAUGAAUUGACCGCAUAGAAAACAUAUUGCCUUCUCUUGGAAGACAGAUCCUCCUGCACUUUGUCCCUUGCUAUUUCACUUGAUUCCAAUGGCCCUUUUGCAGCAUCUGUAAAUAUAAUUUUUGAGCUGCAAUCUAUGAUCAAUGAGUGGUAAGCCUAUUGUACUUUUCGAUGGGAAUCUUGAUGGCCCGAGUUUAUAUUUUGUUUUUAUUUGCAUGGUUUAAUUGAAGCUCAUUAAAAGAAACAAAAUUAGUUUACUGAGGUUGUUACUGUAUUGUUGUUCUGUCAUAAUAUGUGAGUUUUCCAAUGGUAUACAGGUUAACUGGUUACAGAAGAACUCACCUAACUAGGAUCACCAACACAUGGGGUCUGAUUCAGGGAAUUUGUCAUGAUGACAGGACGAGGGAGAUGUAGCCUGUAUUGAACUUAUCAUUUCAGGUAAGUGGUGAACGCCUGAAUCUUUGAAUUUAAGCUCCGCUUUAGAAUUUAAUUAGCUAUAUAGUGAUAAUAACAAUAUUGAGGUUCCACCAUAACUUAAAGAAGAACAAGCACCUGUAAAGCAAUAAGUUGGAAAUUAAUUGAUAACUGAUAAAAUAUAAUAAUGCAACUGUUUAAUAUCUUUUCAGUACUUGGUCGCUACCACAAUAAAGUAGCCAUCUAAAACCAAAUAACAAGUGAAAACUAAUGGAAAGUUGUUGCAACUCUUGUUCUUGUUUCAGAAUUUGUAACAUAAAACUUUGGGACAGGCUGCUUGCUUUUUAUGCAAAUGCAAACAAAGAAGCAGCUUAGAAUUGCAUAUUUUCUUGGGCUUGGCUUAAUUUAUGGAUUAUUUUAUAUUAUGGUACUGUAAUUAAUUCCUUUAAAUAAGUGGAUAGGAAUAUAUUUUGUAGUUCGGAAUAUUCUAGG